CGGUCACGUGACCGCACCGGCCUCUUCUGCGGGGGGAGCCCUCGGCCCCUUCCACGUCACCGUCCAAUCUGUACUUCCCUGUAGGAACCGGUCGUGGCGCCCUUCUACGGGCCACCCGUUUCAUGGCAGCUUUAACUUUCAUUCAUUCAUUCGUGCAGCAUUUUCGGAAGUUUCAGAGGAAGCGAGCCACCAUGUUGUAAGGACACUCAAGCAGUCAUCUUCCAGAGAAACACACGUGAUGAAGAACCAAGUCCGUCAGCCUUCUUGUGACUCCACCAUCCGCAAACAUGGCUUCCAUCUCAUGGUGUAAGACGGACCCACCAAUGCCCAACACCACGUCUCUACUCCAGUACCAGAUCUGCGAACUAGGUUCUCUUGCUCCCUGUUUACAGAGGGAGAAACCAUCCCAGAGAGCCACCAUGGUCAUCUCACAGCCAGGAUGUGAAGACUUGCAAAUUGGCUGCUUCCAAAGAGCAUGGUUUUAGAAACCAGACUGUUCUGCUUCUUAAAAGUGCUGGUGCCAGGCUGACUGGUUCCCAGUCCCUCCUUGCCACUGCCUGGCUGUAUUGCUUUGCACAAAGGGUUUCCCUGUCAGAGCCUCCCUCACCUUCCUAUUCUAGAAAACCGAGGUCACAUGGCAUCUACCUGUUUAAGAGGAUUAACUGAGGUCCAGAACCUAUGAUGUAAAAUAUAGCAAAUGAUUGUUUUCUAAGUCAGUUGGCAAAGGGCUGGCCAACUUUACCCACAGCAAAUCUGUGCACUUCUCUUCCCUUGUAGACAUUCAGUUAAGAUCUGAUUUUCAAGGGCACCUGGGUGGCUCAGUUGGCUAA